rnacentral:rRNA from 1 species
AUUGAACGCUGGCGGCAGGCCUAACACAUGCAAGUCGAACGAGUGGCGGACGGGUGAGUAAUGUCUGGGACACUGCCUGAUGGAGGGGGAUAAAUACUGGACACGGUAUCUUAUAGCGCAUACCAUCGGAUGUGCCCAGAUGGGAUUAGCUAGUAGGUGGGGUAAAGGCUCACCUAGGCCAAGAUCCCUAGCUGGUCUGAGAGGAUGACCAGCCACACUGGAACUGAGACACGGUCCAGACUCCUACGGGAGGCAGCAGUGGGGAAUAUUGCACAAUGGGCGCAAGCCUGAUGCAGCCAUGCCGCGUGUGUGAAGAAGGCCUUCGGGUUGUAAAGCACUUUCAGCGAGGAGGCGUUACUCGCAGAAGAAGCACCGGCUAACUCCGUGCCAGCAGCCGCGGUAAUAC